UACGUAGGGGGCAAGCGUUGUCCGGAAUCAUUGGGCGUAAAGAGCGUGUAGGCGGUUCGGUAAGUCGGCUGUGAAAGUCCAGGGCUCAACCCUGGGAUGCCGGUCGAUACUGCCGGACUAGAGUUCGGAAGAGGCGAGUGGAAUUCCCGGUGUAGCGGUGAAAUGCGCAGAGAUUGGGAAGAACACCGGUGGCGAAAGCGCUCUGCUGGGCCGCAACUGACACUAAUGGACGAAAGCUAGGGGAGCGAAUGGG
rnacentral:rRNA from 1 species